rnacentral:rRNA from 1 species
GAUGAACGCUGACAGAAUGCUUAACACAUGCAAGUCUUUGGCGAAGCUGUGCUUGCACAGCCUAGCCAAGGCGGACGGGUGAGUAACGCGUAAGGAACUUGCCCUGCAGUCAGGGAUAACAGACGGAAACGACUGAUAAGACCUGGUAAAGUCAGGCGGACUCAUGUCCAGCCUGAUGAAAAGAGAUGCUGCAGGAGAGCCUUGCGUCCUAUUAGCUUGUUGGUGGGGUAACGGCCCACCAAGGCGAUGAUAGGUAGCCGGCCUGAGAGGGUGGACGGCCACAAGGGGACUGAGAUACGGCCCUUACUCCUACGGGAGGCAGCAGUGGGGAAUAUUGGACAAUGGGGGCCACCCUGAUCCAGCAAUUCUGUGUGCACGAUGAAGGUUUUCGGAUUGUAAAGUGCUUUCAGCAGGGAAGAAAAAAAUGACGGUACCUGCAGAAGAAGCGACGGCUAAAUACGUG